AUGACGAUUCUAUGCUGGAACUGCCGGGGCCUUGGGCAGCCCCGGACAGUUCAGGAACUUGUGUGUUUGGUGCACACAUACAAGCCAAAGUUGGUGUUCCUUUCCGCAACUCGGCAAAGCAAUUCUUACAUGAAUAAACUGAAAUGGAGGCUACUCAAGCACUGUAUUACGCAGCCGGGCACCGGGAAGGGUGCGGGCAUUGUGCUCUUUUAUGAUGAGAGCAUUGAGUUAAUAAAGCUUACCGUUGGGCUGAGGUAUAUUGAUAUUCUUGUGCGUCUAAAUUCUACCAGUUUACAAUGGAGAGAUACGUUUGUCUAUGGUGAACCGAAAGCCCAUGAGAGGCAUCAUGUGUGGAACCUACUUAGGAGGAUUAAGGAUGUUUCUAAAGUCCCUUGGUUGAUGAUUGGGGACUUCAACAAAGUUAUGUGUCAAUCUGAGCACAUCUCAACCUCGAAAAGAUCUGAAAGGCAAAUAAAAAAUUUCUGUGAAGUGCUCUCAGACUGUAAUCUUUUUAACCUUGGCUUUAAGGGUCCAAUAUGGACUUCCAGUAAUAAACGAGAUGGUCAGAAAAAUGUUCACACAAGGCUUGAUAGAGGGGUGGCAUCCCCGGGCUAG
rnacentral:rRNA from 1 species